UCCUACGGGAGGCAGCAGUGAGGAAUAUUGGUCAAUGGGCGGGAGCCUGAACCAGCCAAGCCGCGUGAGGGAAGAAGGUACAGCGUAUCGUAAACCUCUUUUGUCAGGGAACAAAGGCGGGGACUAGUCCCCGGAUGAGGGUACCUGAAGAAAAAGCAUCGGCUAACUCCGUGCCAGCAGCCGCGGUAAUACGGAGGAUGCGAGCGUUAUCCGGAUUUAUUGGGUUUAAAGGGUGCGCAGGCGGCCUGUUAAGUCAGCGGUAAAAGCCCGGGGCUCAACCCCGGCGACCCGUUGAAACUGGCGGG
rnacentral:rRNA from 1 species